rnacentral:rRNA from 1 species
AUACGUAGGGAGCGAGCGUUGUCCGGAAUUACUGGGUGUAAAGGGAGCGUAGGCGGGAGUGCAAGUCAGAUGUGAAAUACAUGGGCUCAACUCAUAAACUGCAUUUGAAACUGUAUCUCUUGAGUGCUGGAGAGGUAGACGGAAUUCCUUGUGUAGCGGUGAAAUGCGUAGAUAUAAGGAAGAACACCAGUGGCGAAGGCGGUCUACUGGACAGUAACUGACGCUGAGGCGCGAAAGCGUGGGGAGCAAACAGGAUUAGACACCCUGGUAGUCCACGCUGUAAACGAUGAAUACUAGGUGUGGGGGGACUGACCCCCUCCGUGCCGCAGUUAACACAAUAAGUAUUCCACCUGGGGAGUACGGCCGCAAGGUUGAAACUCAAAGGAAUUGACGGGG